rnacentral:lncRNA from 1 species
UUUUGUCGAGUCUGUUCUACCGCCAUGGUAGUCUCUUCCAUCUCCUUUCAACUCUAAUUACUCUGAAUCUUUUCCUUUGUCUUCGUAAUGGCAAUUCUCCUCUACUUACAAGGCAUUUCACCCACUCGCAACUCUCUCUACUCCGAUUUCCCCUUCAUCAUCCAUGUUCUGUCAUCUGUCUCUUUCCUCACGUUCUUCAUGAAAUUAUAGCCCGUUCACUUUCACUUUCUCUAACCGUAUCUCUAUUUCCAUCCUCCCAAGCUCUAUCUUCAUCUUUC